CAGCAAACGGGCAACAUCUUUCUUUGACGCAAAAAGCCUCGUCUGGCCUCACCGACCGUACUGCAUCCACCACAUGCACCAUCCGUGUCUCGGUGAACAUCCUGAAAAAAUAUUCCCAAGACAUCCAGAAAGUAUCUACCCUCUUGAAUAAGAUGCGGGCUCUUAACUUAAGGGAACAUUUGCUAUCCUGCGGUCAUAUAAAUUCCACGAUAAAACGUCUACCAUUCUAUACGAACAUUGGAAACGAUCAAGCGGAAUCGGAGGAUCGCUGUCACGUAUUAGACAUUCUGUUAUCUAAUAAAAAUAAUCUUUUUCUUA